CCUACGGGAGGCAGCAGUGGGGAAUCUUGCACAAUGGAGGAAACUCUGAUGCAGCGAUGCCGCGUGAGUGAAGAAGGCCUUUGGGUUGUAAAGCUCUUUUGUAGGGGAAGAUAAUGACUGUACCCUAAGAAUAAGGUCCGGCUAACUUCGUGCCAGCAGUCGCGGUAAUACGAAGGGACCUAGCGUAGUUCGGAAUUACUGGGCGUAAAGCGCGCGUAGGCCGUUGAGUUAGUUAAUUGUGAAAUCCCAAAGCUUAACUUUGGAACUGCAAUUAAAACUGCUCGACUAGAGUUUGAUAGAGGAAAGCGGAAUACAUAGUGUAGAGGUGAAAUUCGUAGAUAUUAUGUAGAACACCAGUUGCGAAGGCGGCUUUCUGGAUCAACACUGACGCUGAGGCGCGAAAGUAUGGGUAGCAAAGAGGAUUAGAUACCCUCGUAGUCCAUACCAUAAACGAUGAUUGCUAGAUGUUGGAAAUUUAUUUUCAGUAUCGCAGCUAACGCAUUAAGCAAUCCGCCUGGGGAGUACGACCGCAGGUUAAAACUCAAAGGAAUUGACGGCUGNGAGNGCGAGACGACGACGAGGAGAGG
rnacentral:rRNA from 1 species